rnacentral:rRNA from 1 species
AUUGAAAGCUGGCGGCAGGCUCAACACAUGCAAGUCGAGCGAGCGGCGGACGGGUGAGUAAUGUCUGGGAAACUGCCUGAUGGAGGGGGAUAACUACCGGAAACGGUAGCUAAUACCGCAUACCAUCAGAUGUGCCCAGAUGGGAUUAGCUAGUAGGUGGGGUAAUGGAUCACCUAGGCGACGAUCCCUAGCUGGUCUGAGAGGAUGACCAGCCACGUUGGAACUGGAACACGGUCCAGACUCCUACGGGAGGCAGCAGUGGGGAAUAUUGCACAAUGGGCGCAAGCCUGAUGCAGCCAUGCCGCGUGUAUGAAGAAGGCCGUCGGGUUGUAAAGUACUUUCAGCGGGGAGGCGUUACACGCAGAAGAAGCACCGGCUAACUCCGUGCCAGAAGCCGCGGUAAUAC